rnacentral:rRNA from 1 species
AGUGAACGCUGGCGGUAGGCCUAACACAUGCAAGUCGAACGGCAGCACAGUAAGAGCUUGCUCUUACGGGUGGCGAGUGGCGGACGGGUGAGGAAUACAUCGGAAUCUACUUUUUCGUGGGGGAUAACGUAGGGAAACUUACGCUAAUACCGCAUACGACCUACGGGUGAAAGCAGGGGAUCUUCGGACCUUGCGCGAUUGAAUGAGCCGAUGUCGGAUUAGCUAGUUGGCGGGGUAAAGGCCCACCAAGGCGACGAUCCGUAGCUGGUCUGAGAGGAUGAUCGGCCACACUGGAACUGAGACACGGGCCAGACGCCUACGGGAGGCAGCAGGGGGGAAUAUUGGACAAUGGGCGCAAGCCUGAUCCAGCCAUACCGCGUGGGUGAAGAAGGCCUUCGGGUUGUAAAGCCCUUUUGUUGGGAAAGAAAAGCAGCAGGUUAAUACCCCGCUGUUCGGACGGUACCCAAAGAAUAAGCACCGGCUAACUGCGU